AAGUAAAAAGCAAAAAAUUGCAUCUAGUUUCGGCCUAGAAAUUUAGUCAUAAGACUUUUACUUG
rnacentral:tRNA from 1 species